GCAGAGGAAACCAGCACACAGUUUCUCCUCCUCUCUUCUAAUAACUCUUGCGAGACCCGCAGAGCAUUGCCAUGGUAACCUGGUCUUGCGAGAGUUAUUAGAAGAGAGAAGAGAGGAGAAGCUGUGUGCUGCCUGGGCCCC